rfam:Nematostella vectensis strain CH2 x CH6 NEMVEscaffold_586_Cont30470, whole genome shotgun sequence.
GUUUCCUUAGUGUAGUGGUUAUCACGUCUGCUUUACACGCAGAAGGUCCCCAGUUCGAGCCUCGGCGGAUACA